rnacentral:rRNA from 1 species
UACGUAGGGCGCAAGCGUUGUCCGGAAUUACUGGGCGUAAAGAGCUCGUAGGCGGCCUGUUGCGUCCGCUGUGAAAUCCCGGGGCUCAACCCCGGGCCUGCAGUGGAUACGGGCUGGCUAGAGGCAGGCAGGGGAGAACGGAAUUCCUGGUGUAGCGGUGAAAUGCGCAGAUAUCAGGAGGAACACCGGCGGCGAAGGCAGCGCCCUGGCCGACAUCUGACGCUCAGGCACGAAAGCUGGGGGAGCGAAUAGG